rnacentral:pre_miRNA from 1 species
UUUAGCUUUUUGAUACACUCUUCGUCUUAUUUGAAAUUUUUUUAACGAUUAAUAUUCUUAUUCUUACUGGAUGAUAAAAUAUAAAUAGUACUUCAUGCGUGAAUAAUUUUUUAAAUUUUUUUAUAAAAUUUUCAAAUAAGAUGAAUGAUCAAAGCGUUGGAUACGAAAAAAC